ACCAAAUGUUAGUCUUGGUGGGGCUUUAUUUGAGAAUGAUGUUCUUAGAUUUUUACUUUCCUCUUUUGUUCUAGAUCUGGAAGCUUUUACUUGUUGAUGAUCCAAUACAACUGAAUUUCUUACGACGCGUCUUUAGUGCCAGAAUUUGGAUAUCUUAAAAAUGAAGGAUUCAGGGUACAUCAAAUUGAGCGUACAUGAUCCAGAAAGCAUGAAAGAUGAUGAACAUUUGCUGAGGAUAGAUAUAAGUAGUCCUGUUUUGCUGGCUGGGAAUUGGUCUCAGCUUUGCGAACUUGCAAGGUGUUGUUUACUCCCUCUGCAGAUGCUGUUUUACGUACCUAUAUAAAAGCAAACCGGAAACUCUGGGUCCUAUCUAGAUCCUUUAGUUCUUCUGCUCUAAAAUAGUUUGUUUUGUGCUUUUAUCAGAUUGUCGGUCCCCUUCGUGCCAAGCAUUGUUCUACCUGUGAUUGCCCGUGUUGAACAAUUUGAUCAUCAUUAUCCUUGGGUUUCUAAUUGUGUUGGCAAGGUGUCUUACCAAUUCCUCGCAUAUUUUUUUUUCACUUAAAUAUUAUGUAGAUAUCUAGGAUGUACCUGAGUAAUGAUCUUGGAAACUGUACAUGUCCCGAGUACAAGCUUGGAAAUUGUAUUUGUCCUGAUCCUAGACGAAAAAUGAAGGAAAAAUUCUUUGUCUUUAUUCAUGGUGCCUAAAUUCCCUUGCAUAUCCAGUAAUCCCUGGAAUCUGAUAAAACAAGCCGGCUGGUACUUAGAGAGCAAAAGACAAAAAAACUGUUCUUGCCAAAAUGAAAACCGACCGAUUCAGUCCUUUGACAUUUAUAAAAUUCUUAAUUUAGAGCUUUUUUGAUAAAAGUUAAAAAUUUUAUUGGUAGAUAAAAAUAAUUAUGAUCAUUCUCACACACCUAAUCUAGGACUUCUUUAUAGUCCAUAGUUCUGGAUAAAAUUAACCAAAUUUGGACUGGUUUGUUCUAAUUUAAACUGGAUGGAAUCGGAUAAUGACCACCCACACACAUGCACGAGUCCUUAUGGGCACAGUCCUUUUUUGUGUGAUUACAUCAUUCUUGGUAUAUAACUUUGCAUGAAUAUAUUGAGAGUUAAGUGAAUAUAUGGAGAAUAAAUGUCUCGUUGAUGAACAUCUUUACAGGAUUACUAGUUAUUAAAGAGUGAAUUAAAUGAGUAUGGAUCAAUCUUGUAGGGUCUCUGAUAUAAUUUUUGUCAUUGUUUUACUCUGGGACGUGGCAUUGAUUUUGGCUUUACUGAAUGCUAUGCAAUAGGUCUGUAUAUUUUCAUCAUGGUCCGACCGAUUGUAUUACCUGAUACAGAAAAACAAGUGGGAUUUCUUUGUGUUUCUUAUUAUGGAAUUAUUGGCGAUGCUGAUUACUGAAUCAGCGACUCUUACGUGUGCGAUUAUUUUAUAUAUUUUCAGUGUCAACCUAAAUAUAUAGUUCUUUUAGUGUUCUGUGUUCUUAUUCUUUCCUUUUCACCGUAUGCUCUUAUAUCUGCUUCUUUAUUAGUUAGUAACCAUUUUUUCUUGUCUCGAGUGUUCCAAUGGCUUCUUGUUUGCAGACAUUUUCAUCUUCUGCAAUGUGGCAGUCUUAACUCUUGUACAGGCCUCUGAGAUCUCUCGCAAUAUUACAACAAACGAAAUGGCAAAUGCAUUGCGGUGUAGUUACCUUCGAAGCCCAAGGGUUCGAUUCAGAAAUCCAUACGACCAUGGCUACAAGAACUUCUCAGACUUCAUGAUAAAUGGCUACAAUGUAGAUAUGAAAUACACUGAAGAGUACGAUAGAUCUGAAGGGAUAAGAAUGAUGCAAAUGGUAAGGAAUCAUAGCCUGCCGAAUCGUGUCAACUAUACUCAUCACAUAAUGGAAAUGGCCAUUAUGAUAAUUGAAAUGAACACGAAUAUGAGCGCUGAAACACAAGGACAGGUGCAUUCUCCACUUGGAUGUCAUAGCAGUAAUCCCAGUGGAAAAACUAAUACUUUUUCUAAGAAUCUGGGCAUUGAUUGAGGACAAAAUGCUAUCCUUUCUGUACCAGUUUCAUGAAAUACCUUGCUUUGUACUCAAUACUGUCUAAAAGUACACAUGAGGUUUAGCUUCUGUAAUACAUUAGUUGCAUGUUCGGUAUAGAAGAUCAGAUAGUCCAUAACAGUAUUAAGAAGAUUCAGCAAAAGCAUGUUUUUGCUGUAAUUGAUUAACUUGUUAGGUAUUUGAAACCUGUUAGAAACCACAGUCGCGAUGGAGCUCUCCCCACAAUCCAAAUUAAUUCAGCCACCACAACACCACCCAGUCACAACCUAGCAUCCACCCUUACCUAUCGGCCCGACGACGACCAACUGCCCGGUAGACACC